rnacentral:misc_RNA from 1 species
AUCUACUGCAGCAAAUUACCAAGUCAUACAACGUCGGCUACUUAGUGCUACUUGCGAUAGUGCGUGAGAUGCGUAGUGCGCUUCAGUAACACCUGAUAUCAUCCGUAGUUACUUCGAAUAUCAGCUUAUAGAGCUAAAAAUUACAACAAGUUUUUUACUUAAAGCCUAGCGUGAGUAUGGGUAAUGACGAGGCAAUGAAUAUUGGUGCAAUCCGCGCGAAUAAAGCGGAAACUUGUCAAAACACGAAAAGAACGACGGAGUUUCUUGUAAAAUAUCGAGAUCGCAUUUAUGAUAUUAACAAUUUUUUAAAUUAUCAUCCUGGCGGGAAGAACACGUUAGCGCGUUUCAAAGGUAAAAUUUUAGACAAGGCGUUAGCGAGACAUUCACAUUCCAAAUCUGCUUACUAUCUUCUCGAGGAGUUCGCUGUACAUCGCCAGGAAAGAUAUAACGAAUACGAAGAUCCAGUGAAUUGGGAUGCACCAAUUUUACAACAAGUGAGUUCUAUGGGCCACCGAUAUUGGGAAUGGGUGAACUUGCCGGUGAACCGACCCAUCCGACUCUUCCAAUCGGAUAUUUUAGAAAUAUUAUCGGUCACGCCGUGGUACUUGGUUCCGAUCAUCUGGAUUCCUAUAUUUAUGUAUUUCUUUUACAUGGGUUGUGUCUUGAAUAUCUCGACGGAUCCCGUCGUUUCAUCGCAAAGGAUCUUACUACCAUUCACUCUGGGAAUACUUAUAUGGACCGUCAUGGAAUAUUUCGUGCAUCGAAAAAUAUUUCAUCUCAAGCCACCGCACAAUUCGAGAUUAUUAAUUAUUCUGCACUUUUUGUUUCACGGAAAUCAUCAUAAGGCACCGUUUGAUGGACGGAGAUUGAUGUUUCCACCGACAUUUAGCGUCAUUGUGGCAGGAAUACUCUGGCAAAUUUAUAAGAUCUUAUUCUCUCCAACAAUGCUCCAUCUCAUCGCAGCUGGUAAUAUAAUGGCAUCCGCACUUUACAGGCUACCUAUCUUACGACUUGAUGCACUAUUACUUACAUAAUGGAGCUCCGCGAGUUAAUUCUUAUUUAUACACGAUGAAAAGGAAACACAAUUAUCAUCACUUCAUACAUCAUAAUCGAGGAUUUGGCGUUACCAGUGAAUUAUGGGAUCGACUGUUCAAAACUAAUCUGACUUUGAGAAAAUUGGACGAACCUUUGAAAUGGUGAAGUAUAUUAACACAAGAUUCUCAUAUUUAUUAAUAUUUAUUCUAUAUUUCUGCAAGAUAAAUUAUUCGUCAUUUAUAUAGUCAGUUAUAUAGUCACAAUUAUAAUUAUACCAAGUACUAUGCAUAUUGUAGCAAUAAGCAACGUUCUCCUUGUAAUAAUUACACAUACAAUUCUGCACGCAAAUUUAAUCCAAACUCCUCAGUUUUCUACAAGGCAAUAUAAGUACAGACAAUGCUUUAGGAAGAUUUGACAGUUUUAUAUUAAUUAAUUAAUGAUCAAAAUUCGAUAUCACUACAAAAUGAGGCCUUCAAGCGACGAUAUAACACUGUAAUCUCACUGUAAAAUAUUGAAAUACUUACAUUUGAACUUCGUCUACGAUUCAAUAAUGCUAAAUUAAAAAGUUUGUGAUAUCUUAA